UACAGAGGUCCCGAGCGUUGUUCGGAUUCAUUGGGCGUAAAGGGUGCGUAGGCGGCGGGGCAAGUUGGAUGUGAAAGCCCUGGGCUCAACCUGGGAACUGCAUCCAAAACUACUGAGCUAGAGUACGGUAGAGGGUAGUGGAAUUUCCUGUGUAGCGGUGAAAUGCGUAGAUAUAGGAAGGAACACCAGUGGCGAAGGCGACUACCUGGACUGAUACUGACACUGAGGUGCGAAAGCGUGGGGAGCAAACAGG
rnacentral:rRNA from 1 species